rnacentral:rRNA from 1 species
AGAACGAACGCUGGCGGCAGGCCUCAAACAUGCAAGUCUAGCGGGCAUAGCAAUAUGUCAGCGGCGGACGGGUGCGUAACACGUGGGAAUGUACCUAUUGGUUCGGAACAACGCAGGGAAACUUGCGCUAAUACCGAAUGUGCCCUUCGGGGGAAAGAUUUAUCGCCAAUGGAUCAGCCCGCGUUCGAUUAGCUAGUUGGUGAGGUAAUGGCUCACCAAGGCGACGAUCGAUAGCUGUUCUGAGAGGAAGAUCAGCCACACUGGGACUGAGACACGGCCCAGACUCCUACGGGAGGCAGCAGUUGGGAAUCUUGGACAAUGGGGGAAACCCUGAUCCAGCCAUGCCGCGUGAGCGAUGAAGGCCUUCGGGUUGUAAAACUCUUUCGACGGGGACGAGUAAUGACGGUACCCGUAGAAGAAGCUCCGGCUAACUUCGUGCCAGCAGCCGC